UACGUAGGUGACCAGCGUUGUCCGGAUUUACUGGGCGUAAAGAGCGCGCAGGCGGUCGUUCAAGUCGAGUGUGAAAGCCCCCGGCUCAACUGGGGAGGGUCAUUCGAUACUGAUCGACUUGAAGGCAGGAGAGGGAAGCGGAAUUCCCGGUGUAGUGGUGAAAUGCGUAGAUAUCGGGAGGAACACCAGUGGCGAAGGCGGCUUCCUGGCCUGUUCUUGACGCUGAGGCACGAAAGCGUGGGGAGCGAA
rnacentral:rRNA from 1 species